rnacentral:misc_RNA from 1 species
GAUGAAGAACGUAGCGAAAUGCGAUAAGUAAUGUGAAUUGCAGAAUUCAGUGAAUCAUCGAAUCUUUGAACGCACCUUGCGCCCUUUGGCCAUUCCGAAGGGCAUGCCUGUUUGAGUAUCAUGAACACCUCAACUCUUUAUGGUUUUCCAUGAUGAGCUUGGACUCUGGGGGUUUUGCUGGCUCACAGUCGGCUCCUCUAAAAUGAAUCAGCUUACCAGUGUUUGGUGGGUAUCAUGGGUGUGAUAACUAUCUACGCUUGUGGUUUUUCCACCAGGUAACCUUCAGCAGUGGAGGUUCGCUGGAGCUCAUAGAUGUCUCUCCUCAGUGAGGACAGCCCUUUGAAUGUUUGAUCUCAAAUCAGGUAGGACUACCCGCUGAACUUAAGCAUAUCAAUAAGCGGAGG